AUUGAACGCUGGCGGCAUGCUUUACACAUGCAAGUCGAACGGUAACAGGGUGCUUGCACCGCUGACGAGUGGCGAACGGGUGAGUAAUGCAUCGGAAUGUACCGUGUAAUGGGGGAUAGCUCGGCGAAAGCCGGAUUAAUACCGCAUACGCCCUGAGGGGGAAAGUGGGGGACCGAAAGGCCUCACGUUAUACGAGCAGCCGAUGUCUGAUUAGCUAGUUGGUGAGGUAAAGGCUCACCAAGGCGUCGAUCAGUAGCGGGUCUGAGAGGAUGAUCCGCCACACUGGGACUGAGACACGGCCCGGACUCCUACGGGAGGCAGCAGUGGGGAAUUUUGGACAAUGGGCGCAAGCCUGAUCCAGCCAUGCCGCGUGUCUGAAGAAGGCCUUCGGGUUGUAAAGGACUUUUGUCCGGGAGCAAAUCCUAGUGGUUAAUAACCGCUGGGUCUGAGAGUACCGGAAGAAUAAGCACCGGCUAACUACGUG
rnacentral:rRNA from 1 species